CAAGUGGAUAUUGAUUAUGAUAUUUUUGUGUUAGUUAUCUCAUCAAGAAGCUGGUAACGAGGCUGCAGAAGCCUUAAGCACGCAAGAUCACUUAAAAUAGAACGGGUCGAAAGUGAAGGCGAUGGGGUUACGCCAUUGCCCAACUAUCUUACCCUAGAAAACCUGCUGGCAUUUAGGGUCAUUCAUUCAUUUGCAAGGCAAUGUACCAUACGCCACUCCGGUGUAUGGUAUGGCGAGUUCUGAAUUCGGGUGAAUCCAACGGGUAAACAGGUGGGAGUGGAGCCUAGAGACGUCUAAACAGUUUUUUGUUCAAAGUUUGCGGGACUGCAUCCAACAGGUAAUUUUUCAGAUCUGUGCAUUAAUUAUACGUGGAACAAGUGGGCCCUGGUGUUGGGUUAAUCUUGAUGUUACGGGUCGUGUACGGGUCAAGUCGGUGACCGGUUUUUUUAAAUGGGUCACCAAAUAGCAAACGGGUCACGGGUCAACGGUAACGAUUAAUGGGUCAUGGUCAGUAGACUAUUAGGCCAGUAAAUACCUCAUGUAAUCAUGGGUUUGAGAGAUUGUGGUGAAUGAAGACUUUGACAGGUUUGAUCGAGCUUCAUGGAAAAUAAACGUUGAGACGAGAUGAACGUGGAACGCAAGAAAAAUAGGAACUGAUAGUUUGACUGAGCAAAUACCUUUGUUUAUUAUAAAUUAUAAAAGGUUGUAAUUUUUCUUUGGGUAUGUACCCCAUUUUCAUUCAAUACAGUAGCUUUCUUCAUCUUUA